GCAUAUCAAUAAGCGGAGGAAAAGAAACCAACAGGGAUUGCCCUAGUAACGGCGAGUGAAGCGGCAACAGCUCAAAUUUGAAAUCUGGCUUCGGCCCGAGUUGUAAUUUGCAGAGGAAGCUUUAGGCGCGGCACCUUCUGAGUCCCCUGGAACGGGGCGCCAUAGAGGGUGAGAGCCCCGUAUAGUUGGAUGCCUAGCCUGUGUAAAGCUCCUUCGACGAGUCGAGUAGUUUGGGAAUGCUGCUCAAAAUGGGAGGUAAAUUUCUUCUAAAGCUAAAUACCGGCCAGAGACCGAUAGCGCACAAGUAGAGUGAUCGAAAGAUGAAAAGCACUUUGAAAAGAGGGUUAAAUAGCACGUGAAAUUGUUGAAAGGGAAGCGCUUGUGACCAGACUUGCGCCGGGCAGAUCAUCCGGUGUUCUCACCGGUGCACUCCGCCCGGCUCAGGCCAGCAUCGGUUCUCGCGGGGGGAUAAAGGCAUCGGGAACGUGGCUCCUCCGGGAGUGUUAUAGCCCGUUGCGUAAUGCCCUCGCGGGGACCGAGGUUCGCGCAUCUGCAAGGAUG
rnacentral:rRNA from 1 species